AACGGAGAAGGCGAACGUUGUCCGGAGUGACUGGGCGUAAAGCGCGCGUAGGUGGCGCGGUAAGUGAGUCGUGAAAGCACCGGGCUAAACUCGGUGAGGACGAUUGAGACUGCCGUGCUGGAGGAUGGUAGAGGAGUGCGGAAUUCCGGGUGUAGCGGUGAAAUGUGUAGAGAUCCGGAGGAACACCAGUGGUGCAAACGGCGCUCUGGGCCACACCUGACACUGAGGCGAGAAAGCUUGGGGAGCGAACGGG
rnacentral:rRNA from 1 species